rnacentral:rRNA from 1 species
CAGUAGCCACGGGAAUACGCAGGUGGCAAGCGUUGUCCGGAAUUAUUGGGCGUAAAGGGCUCGCAGGCGGUUUCUUAAGUCUGAUGUGAAAGCCCCCGGCUCAACCGGGGAGGGUCAUUGGAAACCGGGAAACUUGAGUGCAGAAGAGGAGAGUGGAAUUCCACGUGUAGCGGUGAAAUGCGUAGAGAUGUGGAGGAACACCAGUGGCGAAGGCGACUCUCUGGUCUGUAACUGACGCUGAGGAGCGAAAGCGUGGGGAGCGAACAGGAUUAGAUACCCCUGUAGUCCCUGUCUCUUAUAU